rnacentral:rRNA from 1 species
UACGGAGGGGGCGAGCGUUGUUCGGAUUUACUGGGCGUAAAGCGUGCGUAGGUGGUUUCUCAAGUAAGAAGUGAAAGCCCAGGGCUUAACCCUGGAACUGCUUUUUAAACUGGGUCACUAGAGUGUAGGAGAGGUAGAUGGAAUUCCGAGUGUAGAGGUGAAAUUCGUAGAUAUUCGGAGGAACACCAAUGGCGAAAGCAGUCUACUGGACUACUACUGACACUGAGGCACGAAAGCGUGGGGAGCAAACAGG